rnacentral:rRNA from 1 species
UUCCGGUUGAUCCUGCCGGACCUGACUGCUAUCGGAUUGAUACUAAGCCAUGCGAGUCUUUGUAGUAAUACAAGGCAGACGGCUCAGUAACACGUAGUCAACCUACCCUAUGGACAAGAAUAAUCUCGGGAAACUGGGCAUAAUUCUUGAUAGAUCAUAAUGCCUGGAAUGGUUUAUGGUUAAAAUGAUUCGUCGCCAUAGGAUGGGACUGCGGCCUAUCAGCUUGUUGGUGAGGUAAUGGCCCACCAAGGCGAUUACAGGUACGGGCUCUGAGAGGAGAAGCCCGGAGAUGGGUACUGAGACAAGGACCCAGGCCCUAUGGGGCGCAGCAGGCGAGAAAACUUUGCAAUGUGCGAAAGCACGACAAGGUUAAUCCGAGUGAUUUCUGCUAAAGGAAUCUUUUGUUAGUUCUAAAAAUACUAGUGAAUAAGGGGUGGGCAAGUUCUGGUGUCAGCCGCCGCGGUAAAACCAGCACCUCAAGUGGUCAGGAGGAUUAUUGGGCCUAAAGCAUCCGUAGCCUGUUCUAUAAGUUUGCGGUUAAAUCUAUACGCUCAACGUAUAGGCUGCCGUAAAUACUGUAGAACUAGGGAGUGGGAGAGGUAGACGGUACUCGAUAGGAAGGGGUAAAAUCCUUUGAUCUAUUGAUGACCACCUGUGGCGAAGGCGGUCUACCAGAACACGUUCGACGGUGAGGGAUGAAAGCUGGGGGAGCAAACCGGAUUAGAUACCCGGGUAGUCCCAGCUGUAAACGAUGCAGACUCGAUGAUGCAUUGGCAUAUAGCCAGUGCAGUGUCGCAGGGAAGCCGUUAAGUCUGCCGCCUGGGAAGUACGUACGCAAGUAUGAAACUUAAAGGAAUUGGCGGGGGAGCACCACAAGGGGUGAAGCCUGCGGUUCAAUUGGAGUCAACGCCGGG